GGACGUCGACACGGGAGCCCGGAGAGCGGGCUGAGAGUGGGCACUGCGGCCUUUAGAAGGAUUUUCCGCACCUGCCCUUACCGUCGCACCUGAUCCGGGUCAUGCCGGCGAAGGGAGGGAGCUCAUGGGAUCGC
rnacentral:ncRNA from 1 species